GUCGGGAAAAAAAAGUUAAGUAAACAGAGGAUCGCCGGAUUCGCGAAAGAUCUAGAAUAUCUCGUUGUUUUUUUUUUUUCCUGUUGGAAAUUUUUUUUACUUUUUUUGAUACUCCAGCAGGGUAUG
rnacentral:ribozyme from 1 species